AAGUCGUAACAAGGUUUCCGUAGGUGAACCUGCGGAAGGAUCAUUAAUGAAUAAACUUGGUUAAGUUGCUGCUGGCUCUUAGGGGCAUGUGCACGCUUAAUCCAUCUUUAUAACCACCUGUGCACUUUGUGUAGAUCUGAAAAAGUCGAGGAAACUCGGUUUGGGAAUUGCUGCGCGAAAGCCAGCUAUUCCUACUUUCAAAUCUAUGUUUUCACAUACCCCAUUGAAUGUAUUCGAAUGUUGUAAUAGGCCUCUGUGCCUUUAAAACCUAAUACAACUUUCAACAACGGAUCUCUUGGCUCUC
rnacentral:misc_RNA from 1 species